AGUGGGCGGUUAGGGCGAGGGCUGGGUGCGGAUGAUAUUCCGGACAACAUUCGGUGUGAUUGGCUGCGAACAAACUUGAAGUUUACGUGGAUUGGCGGAGAUAAUGUAAUGACGAUUCUGACAGCGGCAGACCAUCGCAGUGAGACACACAGGAAAGCUGGGCCGUUUUAGUUUGUGAGCCAUUUUAUUUAAUUAUUUAUAUCUAUGUAAACUGCUUUGGUAACUUUUGUUGAAAAGCGGUAUAUAAGUAGUCAUUGUAGUGUAGCAGCAGUAGUAUUGAUGUGAAUAAUUACUUCAUUUCAACAAAUAUUUGUCUUAUGAAAGACUGACUUCCAUGUUUGAAUGGCUGUGGAUCUAACCUCCAAAAACAUUCAUAUACUUUCAGUGCAAUCCUUUUCAGUGGGAUCAGAUAUAUUCAGCUAGGAGUCAUUAAGUGUGAUGAUGCUAGUAUCGGGGAUCAGCAUCAUCAUGGGUAAGUGAUGAGCCCCUAAUACCUGCUACCAACUCCUGACCUGCCACGGUGCAGCUGUGAUCAGCACCACCUGCCUGCUUUCUGUGGGCGAUUAGGCCCCAUCCAAACCCACCCCUUCCUUGGAACAAGUAGACAAGUGAGUGGUGAUAGGAGCUAAAGCAGUUGCCACUCACUUGGUAGUGGUUGCUGGUAGCCAUUACUCCCUGUUCUCUGAGUGAACAAUCUGCAACAGUGAUGAUCAACAGCUGCUGCUACCACCUGCACCUGAUUAGAUGCAGAAAAGGAUGCACAGUUGCUGCUACCACAUGUAGCAAUUCAGAAAUCAUUGUGCCCAGAGCCCCCCAAAACCUAGAGCUGUCUGAUCUAUGUGCACAUCAAUUGGCCCUGAAAACUAGGUAAAGUGAGAGGGGGGACCAGAAGUUAAAAGAUGAGCAUUCUCCUUACUCCAGAACCACUUUGUCAUGUAAAACAGGACUUGACAAAUGCCAGGGGCCAGGGAGCCUAUUCAGGGGCCAGGGAGCCUAACCAUGGCGCCCAUUCAACGGUGGAGUUAUUUAAUAAAAUCUUUAUUUGUCCCAAGCA